rnacentral:rRNA from 1 species
GAUGAACGCUGGCGGCGUGCCUAAUACAUGCAAGUCGAGCGAAUGGAUUAAGAGCUUGCUCUUAUGAAGUUAGCGGCGGACGGGUGAGUAACACGUGGGUAACCUGCCCAUAAGACUGGGAUAACUCCGGGAAACCGGGGCUAAUACCGGAUAACAUUUUGAACCGCAUGGUUCGAAAUUGAAAGGCGGCUUCGGCUGUCACUUAUGGAUGGACCCGCGUCGCAUUAGCUAGGUGGUGAGGUAACGGCUCACCAAGGCAACGAUGCGUAGCCGACCUGGGAGGGUGAUGGGCCACACUGGGACUGAGACACGGCCCAGACUCCUACGGGAGGCAGCAGUAGGGAAUCUUCCGCAAUGGACGAAAGUCUGACGGAGCAACGCCGCGUGAGUGAUGAAGGCUUUCGGGUCGUAAAACUCUGUUGUUAGGGAAGAACAAGUGCUAGUUGAAUAAGCUGGCACCUUGACGGUGCCUAACCAGAAAGCCACGGCUAACUACGUGCCAGCAGCCGCCGUAA